rnacentral:rRNA from 1 species
GCGCUUACUGCGCGGCGAUAAACCUUACACACUUUGUUUUUAUUAUUAAAGACACCAUUGCUUUGGUGGAUGGGGGUAAAAGCUCGUCUGCCAGAGGUUUAACCAAAACUCUAACUUAAAAACUUGAUUUUUUAAAUUGUCAUUUUUGAAAUUUGUCUGAUUAACUUCGGAUGAAACAAAUAUUCAAAACUUUCAACAACGGAUCUCUUGGUUCUCGCAUCGAUGAAGAACGCAGCGAAUUGCGAUAAGUAUUGUGAAUUGCAGAAUUUCGUGAAUCAUCGAAUCUUUGAACGCACAUUGCACCCUGUGGUAUUCCACAGGGUAUGCCUGUUUGAGCGUCAUUUCUCUCUCAAAACGCAAGUUUUGGUGUUGAGUGAUACUCGGGUUAAAUGGCUUGAGUUUGCUUGAAAAGUAUUGGCAAGGGAAGUGAGACUUCACUACAGCUGUUUAUUCAAUGUAUUAGGUUUAUCCAACUCGUUGAUUGACAGGUGGAAUGAGAUUUUGCUAAUAGGCCCGGCCUUACAACAAACAAACCAAAGUUUGACCUCAAAUCAGGUAGGAUUACCCGCUGAACUUAAGCAUAUCAAUAAGCGGAGGAAAAGAAACCAACAGGGAUUGCCUUAGUAACGGCGAGUGAAGCGGCAAGAGCUCAAAUUUGAAAUCUAGCACUUUCAGUGUUCGAGUUGUAAUUUGAAGAAGGUAUCUUUGGAGUUGGCCCCUGUCUAUGUUCCUUGGAACAGGACGUCACAGAGG